GAAUAUUAGUCAAUGCUCGAAAGAGUGAACUAGCUAACUGAAAUCAAUUAUAAUAAUUGAUAACAUAAGGGAAAAUAAUGAUAUUACCUUAUUAUUAGUGUCGUCCAAAUCUGGUGCCAGAAGACUCGGUAAGGCCAGAGACACAAACGUUAAUCGUCUUAAUCAGGCGUAAAGGGUUUGUAGGCGGCUUUAAAAAAUUUACUUAAAAAAUUAAAAUUAAGUAAAGAAUAAAAGCUAGAAUCAAAUAGAGGAUAAUUGAAAGAAUGCUUAGAGUAGGUCUGAUAUCCUUAGAUACUAAGUAGAAUACUAAAGGCGAAAGCUUUUUUCCAUUAAUGAUUGACGCUCAGAAACGAAGGUGAGGAUAGGAAAUAGGAUUAGAUACCCAGAUACCCCUCUCUGUCAACGAUGAAUGGUAGUUAUUAGUAAAAAAUUUAUUAAUGGCAAUGUUAACACGAUAACCAUUCCGCCUUGUGAGUACAACUGCAAAGUUGAAAACAAAAAAAUUAGUCGGUUUCGGAGCAAACGAAGUGAAGCAUGUUAUUUAA
rnacentral:rRNA from 1 species